rnacentral:rRNA from 1 species
CGCUGGCGGCGUGCUUAACACAUGCAAGUCGAGCGAUGAAGUUUCCUUCGGGAAACGGAUUAGCGGCGGACGGGUGAGUAACACGUGGGUAACCUGCCUCAUAGAGUGGAAUAGCCUUCCGAAAGGAAGAUUAAUACCGCAUAACGUUGAAAGAUGGCAUCAUCAUUCAACCAAAGGAGCAAUCCGCUAUGAGAUGGACCCGCGGCGCAUUAGCUAGUUGGUGGGGUAACGGCCUACCAAGGCGACGAUGCGUAGCCGACCUGAGAGGGUGAUCGGCCACAUUGGGACUGAGACACGGCCCAGACUCCUACGGGAGGCAGCAGUGGGGAAUAUUGCACAAUGGGGGAAACCCUGAUGCAGCAACGCCGCGUGAGUGAUGAAGGUUUUCGGAUCGUAAAGCUCUGUCUUUGGGGAAGAUAAUGACGGUACCCAAGGAGGAAGCCACGGCUAACUACGUGCCAGCAGCCGCGGUAAUACGUAGGUGGCGAGCGUUAUCCGGAUUUACUGGGCGUAAAGGGAGCGUAGGCGGAUGAUUAAGUGGGAUGUGAAAUACCCGGGCUCAACUUGGGUGCUGCAUUCCAAACUGGUUAUCUAGAGUGCAGGAGAGGAGAGUGGAAUUCCUAGUGUAGCGGUGAAAUGCGUAGAGAUUAGGAAGAACACCAGUGGCGAAGGCGACUCUCUGGACUGUAACUGACGCUGAGGCUCGAAAGCGUGGGGAGCAAACAGGAUUAGAUACCCUGGUAGUCCACGCCAUAAACGAUGAAUACUAGGUGUGGGGGUUUCAACACCUCCGUGCCGCCGCUAACGCAUUAAGUAUUCCGCCUGGGGAGUACGGUCGCAAGAUUAAAACUCAAAGGAAUUGACGGGGACCCGCACAAGUAGCGGAGCAUGUGGUUUAAUUCGAAGCAACGCGAAGAACCUUACCUACACUUGACAUCCCUUGCAUUACUCUUAAUCGAGGAAAUCCCUUCGGGGACAAGGUGACAGGUGGUGCAUGGUUGUCGUCAGCUCGUGUCGUGAGAUGUUGGGUUAAGUCCCGCAACGAGCGCAACCCUUGUCGUUAGUUACUAUCAUUAAGUUGAGGACUCUAGCGAGACUGCCUGGGUUAACCAGGAGGAAGGUGGGGAUGACGUCAAAUCAUCAUGCCCCUUAUGUGUAGGGCUACACACGUGCUACAAUGGCUGGUACAGAGAGAUGCAAUACCGCGAGGUGGAGCCAAACUUUAAAACCAGUCUCAGUUCGGAUUGUAGGCUGAAACUCGCCUACAUGAAGCUGGAGUUACUAGUAAUCGCGAAUCAGAAUGUCGCGGUGAAUACGUUCCCGGGUCUUGUACACACCGCCCGUCACACCAUGAGAGUUGGCAAUACCCGAAGUCCGUGAGCUAACCGCAAGGAGGCAGCGGCCGAAGGUAGGGUCAGCGAUA